GACCUCAAAUCAGGUAAGAAUACCCGCUGAACUUAAGCAUAUCAAUAAGCGGAGGAAAAGAAAAUAACAAUGAUUCCCUCAGUAACGGCGAGCGAAGAGGGAUAAGCUCAAAUUUUAAAUCUGUUGGGUUCCGCUUAACAGAGUUGUAUUUUGAAGAAACGUUUUCUGCAUCCAGGAUUAGCCUAAAUCCUUUGGGAUAAGGUAUCAUGGAGGGUGAGAAUCCCGUUCAUGGUUAAUCUUAAGGAAGCUCUACGAUACGUUUUCCAAGAGUCGAGUUGUUUGGGAUUGCAGCUCAAAAUGGGAGGUAAAUUUCUCCUAAGGCUAAAUAUUGGCGAGAGACCGAUAGCGAACAAGUACCGUGAGGGAAAGAUGAAAAGAACUUUGAAAAGAGAGUUAAACAGUACGUGAAAUUGUUGAAAGGGAAACGAUUGAAGUCAGUCAUACCAACGGGAAAUCAACCUUUUGAGCUUGGUCUCGUGGGUUUUGAAGAGUUUCAAAGCCUUCGGACUCGCGGGAUUGGGAUCUCUUGGUGUACUUUCUCGUACGGUUAGUCAACAUCGGUUUUGAAUGUCAUAAAAUGACUGGAGGAAUGUAGCUUCUUGAAGUGUUAUAGCCUUUGGUAGAUGUGAUGUUUGAGACCGAGGAUUGCAACGGAUACCCUUCAGGGCUAUUCGUCUGAUCUCUGAUACGUUGCCUUGAUGUUGAAAGCUUGCUUAUGAUGUCAGGGUAUUACGGUCAAAAGGUUAGAACGAAUUACAUUCGUUAAGGAUGUUGACGUAAUGACUUUAAACGACCCGUCUUGAAACACGGACCAAGGAGUCUAACAUAUAUGCGAGUGUUUGGGUGAUUAAACCCUUGCGCGUAAUGAAAGUAAUUUUGGUGAGAUCCGGGAAAAAAUUUUCGGAGCAUCAUCGACCGAUCAGGAUAUUU
rnacentral:rRNA from 1 species